rnacentral:rRNA from 1 species
UACGAAGGGGGCUAGCGUUGUUCGGAAUUACUGGGCGUAAAGCGCGCGCAGGCGGUCUUCCAAGUCAGUGGUGGAAGCCCGGAGCUCAACUCCGGAACUGCCAUUGAAACUGUGAGACUUGAGUACGAGAGAGGUGAGUGGAAUUCCCAGUGUAGAGGUGAAAUUCGUAGAUAUUGGGAAGAACACCGGUGGCGAAGGCGGCUCACUGGCUCGUAACUGACGCUCAGGCGCGACAGCGUGGGGAUCAAACAGG